UCCGCGCGAGAACUAAAAGCUUCGAGUCUUUCCUCUUCCACUUCCCCAAUUAAUGCGUUGUCCUCUUCUCCUUCCAUCCCCGGCAACGUUUUCAAUUCUUCGAUCUUCCCACCACAAAUACACAUGAAACGGCAUGCAAUCAAUCAUCGAUCUUCAUCACCCGUAGAGGGAUUUUCUUGGUCAUCCCCUUCCGGUGACGGGACGAAUUUGAGCUCUCUCCGCCACCACUGCUCCACCGCGGACACCUGCUCGGGGAAUCAGAAACCUUUAUCUACCUGAGUUGAAUCCCCCACCGUGACCCAUCUCCUUCCGGUACCAUGUGGGGGCUGGACGGGACAGAUCUGCAGGCAUCGCCGCCGCCACCGCGCAGCCUCUGCGGCUGCAUAUUCUUCUUCCCCAUCUCCAGCGACGCGCUCGAACACCUCAUCGAGCACACCACGGGUGGCACUUGCCGUGGAGGUCAACAUGUGUUCGUCAAAUAUGGCGAUCCAAGCCGCCUUCUGCUCGCUCGGCCGCUCAUGCCAUGUUCAAUCUUCUCCGUGCCAUCACCGGCUGCCUGGCGUUGCCGUCUUCUAUAUCCUGAAGAUGCGCCUCCACAAUUUCUUCUCACCGUAGUUCACAUGAGGGUCGGUUUGGUUGAGCUUCGUGAUGGAGAAAGUCUUGAAGCAAUCGAUUGGACUCGGUGCAGGUUCGAUUUCUUCCUGGUCUGUAGCCCAAUUGCUCCGAACCACACGCAAUUUGUGAGCGAACUAGCGACAUACUGAUUGCCGGCUGGGAAUUUUGCUGAUGCACGCCAUGGAUGCAUCCAUGCGAAACCUGCACGUGCAUGGCCUCAAGCAAAAUCUGGCGGUGCUGCGUGGGCCUUGCUGAAGAGUACAUGGAGAACGUCAGAUAUCUAGAAUUGUGAAGGAAUUAAUUUAUGUUUUCCUAUCUAGAGGAUUUGAAUGCUAUGUAGUUUUUAAUACUUGAUGAAAUUCUGAUUAUACGCAUUGUACUACAUAUCGAAUUAUUCUGCAUUUCAGUGGUAUCUAUACUACUAUUAAACAAUCAAACUAAUUCUUUCUUAACGCCACACGACAGCUGUACACAGUUUGAUUAGCACCGCACGAUUAGGCCCACUAAACUUAAUCUAAUGACUAGCUUUAACUUAAUCUGUUAUCUGAUGUGCACUUAGUAAUUUAGAUUGGCUGAACGUGCUUCACCGCGCGAAGCACCGCCCCGCACGUUGGCAGUCCCUACAAUCACGCAAGGGCAGGAAAAAAAAAGGAAAGCCAUCGCAAUCUGAUCCCCUCACUCGCUAACUGCCCUGCCAGGCCGCGACUCACGCCGUCCGGACGAGGGUCGGACUCCUACGCCACAUGCGCCGCCGCCUGACCCUCCUCCGCCACCACAGCCGCCGCAGAACCGACCAGUGCGCGGCGCCUCUCCCACCGUGACCCGCGAUGCCGGCAGCACCUCCCACCCCCUCCUAUCAUCUCCCUAUCCCUACCCAGCGGACGACCAGAGGAGGAGGAGCUGACGUCUCCCUCCUUCACCUACCCCUACGGUGAGCGGAGACGAUGCCCUCUCGCCAUGCACGCCCUUGAUCCGGACGGCACCGCCGAGCCCGUGGUCCUCCUCCACAGGUCACCGGAUGCAGCCAAGAUCCGUCCAGUCCUCCCACAUCGGCAACCAUGGUAGUCCUCUGCACCCAAGCUUUGCCCAUAAGCUCCAUGUGCAUUGGCAGAUUUCAGCCGGCGAUUUGGAUCGAGCAAGUCACAGGAGCUUGCCUGCAACACCCAGUCUUUGAUCUGGUUUGUUCUUCAUAUCAGACGUUCUGGUGUAUCAAAUCCAUCUGCACUGCAUACAUUGGGAUUGAAACGAUGCCAUGAUAGUUGGCAUUCACGCUUCAGAUUUCCCACAUUUACAUGAGAAGAAACCAUGCUUCUAUAUAGGAGAAGUUGCGCAAGAUUUGAAGCGUGGUUUAAAUUACUAGAUUUCUUAACUCAGCAUCAUUGGAUCGAAGAUGGUUAGGAGGUUGAAGGUAUGUCGCGUGAAAGGCGCGGGGAGGCAAGGACGGGACACGCAGGACACUGCAGUGGAGGACGAACACCGCAGCAAGGUAUGUGCAGAGAACAACCACUGUCGCGAAGUCACGACUCCUCUCUUGCAUGUCCGCUUCUCCUUGGUUGCCUGGUCAUCAUCAUAUCACAAAUCAAAGUUUUCUUAUUGCGAACUAGAGAAGAUAAAUUUGAUGGCUGUAAAUUGCCUGAAGUGCAAGGUCUAAUUCUAUUAUGUGUUGAGUUUAUUAGCAAGAUUGGUCCGUUUUGAUACAGUUUCAUUCUGGUUGCCAUCUACGAGUUACUGUUGCAUCACAGUAAUUUAUUUGGAAGCAGUUAUAAUUCAGAUUGAGACUUUCUGGGUAGGUUGUCACAAGUAUUUAACUUAUGAUUUCAGUUUGAGAUACAACCGGCAAUCUGAAAUCAGUACUGCUGCUCAGACAAUCUAGAGGGGAUAUAAAAUUUCUUUGCAAAGCUUGUACACAAGCUUAAGAAUAUGCCUGCUACUUCUUUUUUUAGGGAAAUAAAAUGCCUGCUACUUUGGGAUAUUGUGGUGUUAUUAAAUGACCGCUUCAUAAAUCAUAAUAUGAGAUGGUGUUUGGUCAACCAAACAUGAAGAAUAUUGGAACAAAAAGACGAAGAAUAUUGGUCAACCAAAGGCAAAUUCACUUCAGCCCAAAUUCACUUGAUGUUGCAGUUUUUUCUUAGUUCUUUAAGAUUGGUUUUAGAUGGAGAGCCGGUCCCAGUUUGGAUGCCAAUGUUGGUUUUUAGAUCAGUUAAUGGUUCAUUGCAACACAUGUUCUCCGUAUAAUUUGAUAUGCAAGGUUUUGAUGCAUAGUAAUAGUGAAUUUGGGCUGAAGGGAAGCAAGAGCAGCUAGCAGUAGCAGUUAUAACUGAAGUGAUAAUGGGCACUUCUCUCUUUUCUGAACAACACUUGAUUUUCUCAUAGUAAUAGUCCUUUACUGAAUUUAGUUGAUACAUAAAUGGUUAUUUACUGAACAAUACUUGUAUGUGGGUAGGUACGAUGGUGAUGAAGUUUUAAAAUGGUCCAUUGCCCAACAAGGGCAUCCUAAUUUCUUACUGGAUUAUACUGUAACAAUAUGAUACCGAAAUUUCAAAUGGUUGUAUAUUUGACCCAUACUAUGAUGGGCCAAGGCCUGCGUGGACAUGUUGUUCACAUACUAUAAUUCAUUUACAGGAGAUUGUAAACGUUUAGGCACCAUGUGUUGAGAAAUUGUGCAUUGAGAUAAAAGAUUAUAUAAUUGAUGCAAAGGCAUGUGAUAUAUAUUUGUUUCAGGAAGUGUGUUGAUUCAUGGAGAAUGAUAUUAUAAAUUAUUAGUAUAUUCAUGAAUUAGGUGUUGUGCACUGCAUGAAAUUUCAAUUUUUUUUUGAGAAAUCUAUCCUACAUCUGGUCAUGUUUCAAAUCAUGUGUUUUUGUCCAAACGGUUCAAAUCAUGUGUUUUUGUCCAAACGUGCGUUGCACGUGCAAGCUUACUAGUUAAGCAAAAGGAUACAAUGCCUAGAGUUUGCAUAUUUUCCUGUACAUAGUUUCCCAAUUUCCUCAGAAUCAUGUCUUAAGUAUAUGUUUCCUUAGUUGAUCUGGUGGUCAAAUUUUAACAUGAUCAGAAAAUUGAAGUUAACUAAAUGGAGUACUUGAGUUGUACAGGUUUCUAUCUACAUGGUUCUUUCAUUGUUUGGUGAACCAUCUCCAGGCCGAGAAGCUGGCGUGGUGAUCUUCGCACAGAGCAGCUGUUUUCAUUGAUCCAAGCUUCUACCACAGAUAAUAAAUGUUUAGCAUGCCUUAUCCCCGAAGAGCCGCUGUUAUCAUUAAUAUGUGGUAGAAGCUUGGAUCAAUAAUGUUGAUCUAUGCUAGAAGCUUGGAUCAAUGACAACAGUGGUGAUCUUCGAACAGAGUCGCUGUUGUCACCCGUUUUGAGUUGCUAGGAUCUAAAUGGGUCGUUUAGGUCGUAGCAACAUUACUGGAACCUCUCCAUUUCUGUUCAAAAUUAAAUAUUAAGAUUUAUUAUAACUGAGGUCAUGAGGAUUGCACAUA